GACGAACGCUGGCGGCGUGCCUAAUACAUGCAAGUAGAACGCACAGUUUAUACCGUAGCUUGCUACACCAUAGACUGUGAGUUGCGAACGGGUGAGUAACGCGUAGGUAACCUGCCUGGUAGCGGGGGAUAACUAUUGGAAACGAUAGCUAAUACCGCAUAAUAUUGAUUAUUGCAUGAUAAUUGAUUGAAAGAUGCUAUUGCAUCACUACCAGAUGGACCUGCGUUGUAUUAGCUAGUAGGUGAGGUAACGGCUCACCUAGGCGACGAUACAUAGCCGACCUGAGAGGGUGAUCGGCCACACUGGGACUGAGACACGGCCCAGACUCCUACGGGAGGCAGCAGUAGGGAAUCUUCGGCAAUGGACGAAAGUCUGACCGGGCAACGCCGCGUGAGUGAAGAAGGUUUUCGGAUCGUAAAGCUCUGUUGUAAGAGAAGAACGGGUGUGAGAGUGGAAAGUUCACACUGUGACGGUAUCUUACCAGAAAGGGACGGCUAACUACGUG
rnacentral:rRNA from 1 species